rnacentral:lncRNA from 1 species
GAUGAUAUCAUUAGUAGAGAGAAAGUAGAGAAGGCGGUGAGAGAGGUCUUGGUUGGGGUAGAGGCGGAGGAGAGGCGUAAACGGGCGAAGAAGCUGGCGGAGAUGGCUAAAGCUGCGGUGGAAGAAGGAGGGUCUUCUUUUAACGAUCUAAACAACUUCAUAAAAGAGUUCAGCUCAUGAUGAUUCUUCGUAUAGAGUUUUGGUUACAACUCUUAUAUUGGGAAUAAGACAAAACCUAAUGUAAUAUUCAAGGAAUAUAGGUUAAUCAAUCUUUCAUUUUCACUUGAGCGAGCUAGUAUGAAUUUGUAUCUAGAAGCGGCAGUCAAUAAUUUUCCCAACUGUUUGAUUCUAAGAGGCGCCAAAAAUUCUGGUACAUGUUUAAAUCACGUCUUAAUUACAUUUGUCAAAGAUCCACCAACGUUAAGACUUGAGAGAUUUCAUAAAAAAAAAACAAGAGUUAAAGACAGAUGUGCGUUUUGAGAAAGUGGUGACACAUGAUCUUGUCUUGUUACAUGCACAUGCAUGCGUAAGAUUUGACUUUUCUUUGUUGGUAUGGAACCGAAAGAGCAGUUAAACUUUAUGAUAUAGAUAUACAAAUAAUACUCUCUAAAUAGCAUCAACAUUAAUUAUUACAUAUUGAUAACCUAUUAGAAUAUUUUUUUUAUUAAGAUAUAAACUCAUAUUGACUGUUUUAACAAAAGCGACAGCAUAAUUUCAAGUUAUACAUUAUACUAGUCAAUUAAUUAAAAAAAUUACUCAAAAUAUCAACAUAAUUGUAGAUUUUGAAUUGAUUUUCACUGAGACUUGAUCUAAACUAGUGGAGCGUGCCGGAUGAUGGUCAAACGAAACUAAUUAAGAAACAAUUAGUUUGAGUUAUUUCAUAUGAAUCGGUAUAAAAUAUAUAAAUUAAAAAAAAAUUGGUUCCACGAUACCUUGAAAACAGAUACUAGAUUCCAAAAAACCCAAAAUCAGUGACGUAUGCAAAGACGUCAGGUUCAUUAAACCAAAACGUUUCUUGUAUGUUAUAUAAAUAGAGAGAUGCAUAACCAACUCUUCUACAAGCUUCAGAAUCUUUCAUCUCUCUCAAAUUUCUCGAAACAUAUCAUUUUUUUUCAGUCAAAGUCAAACAUGGCUAGUAACUCUCAUAAGCUCCAUGUUAUGUUCUUCCCUAUCAUGGCUCAUGGUCACAUGAUACCAACUCUAGACAUGGCUAAGCUAUUCUCCAGCAGAGGAGCCAAGUCCACUAUUCUAACCACACCUCUCAACGCCAAGAUCCUCCAGAAACCCAUCGACAUAUUCAAGAACCUCAAUCCGAGUCUCCAAAUCGAGAUCCAGAUUUUGGAUUUUCCUUGCGUCCAGCUCGGGUUACCAGAAGGAUGCGAAAACGCUGACUUCUUCACCUUAACCAACAACAUUGAUGAUAGACGCGCCAUGAUCUCCAAAUUCUUUUUGGCGACCAGGUUUUUCAAAGACCAGCUUGAGAAGCUCCUCGAGACCAGGAGACCAGACUGUCUUAUCGCCGACAUGUUCUUCCCGUGGGCUACUGAAGCUGCUGAGAAGUUCCAUGUGCCAAGACUUGUGUUCCACGGCACUGGCUACUUCUCUUUAUGCGCUAGUUAUUGCAUCAGAGUGCAUAACCCACAGAAGAGAGUAGCUACAAGUAGCGAGCCAUUUGUGAUCCCUGAUCUCCCAGGGAACAUUGUGAUAACUCGAGGACAGAUCUUAGACCGUGGUGAAGACACCGAGAUGGGGAAGUUUAUGACCGAGGUUUUAGAAUCAGAAGCGAAGAGCUCAGGUGUUGUUGUGAACAGCUUCUACGAGCUUGAACCUGACUAUGCUGAUUUUUACAAGAGUAGUGUAGCAAAGAGAGCGUGGCAUAUUGGUCCGCUCUCGGUUCACAACAGAGGAUUUGAGGAGAAGGCUGAGAGAGGAAAGAAAGCAAGCAUUGAUGAAGCUGAAUGCCUCAAGUGGCUUGACUCCAAGAAACCAGAUUCAGUCGUUUACAUUUCAUUUGGGAGCGUGGCUAACAUCAAGAACGAGCAGACGUGGGAGCCACAAAGCAUGUGAAAGCUAUGGAAGAUGAUAUCAUUAGUAGAGAGAAAGUAGAGAAGGCGGUGAGAGAGGUCUUGGUUGGGGUAGAGGCGGAGGAGAGGCGUAAACGGGCGAAGAAGCUGGCGGAGAUGGCUAAAGCUGCGGUGGAAGAAGGAGGGUCUUCUUUUAACGAUCUAAACAACUUCAUAAAAGAGUUCAGCUCAUGAUGAUUCUUCGUAUAGAGUUUUGGUUACAACUCUUAUAUUGGGAAUAAGACAAAACCUAAUGUAAUAUUCAAGGAAUAUAGGUUAAUCAAUCUUUCAUUUUCACUUGAGCGAGCUAGUAUGAAUUUGUAUCUAGAAGCGGCAGUCAAUAAUUUUCCCAACUGUUUGAUUCUAAGAG